AAUGCUUAUAGGUGGAGCUGCCAGGGAGGCUGCAGUCUUAGGAUAUCAUAUUACUCCCUUGUUUUCGUAAUAUGGGUAUCAUGGACCUGUUUUCAGAGUCUUACUCAGAUUAAAUCGUGGCAAGAUUCAUGAUAGUAGUCUGGCAAUACAGAAAUCCAGUCAUCAAGCUUGGAAGGGCCUUUCUUGGGGUAUGUCUGUGUCAAGUUUGACUCCAUAUUGCGAAGUUAAAGGUGUUGUGCUUUGCAUCACUUGUGCUGGUUCUGGCCUAUACGUUGACUCC